UGUGGGAGCGAGCUUGCUCGCGAUAGCGGUGGUUCAGUUGCCGAAAAUGUUGACUGUGCGGCCGUCAUCGCGAGCAAGCUCGCUCCCACA
rnacentral:misc_RNA from 1 species